CUCGUCGUCCUCUUCGACCUGGCGCUCUUCGUCGUCAUCUACUUGCUGCCCUGAGGGCGCGGGCCCAGAGUCGCUGUGUCGCCGUGGGAUGCACCUCGUAAACACGAACAGUGGAGGAGGAGGACCAUUUGUGCGGGAUAAGCAGCUGGGAACACGGCUCCACUUGCAGCUGGAUGCAAGAGGCAGAUAUUUAUAGUAAUACCAUAAUAUAUCUCUGUCUGUGUCACAAUAUUACCGCUACAGGUUUUUACCUGUUUCUGUGUCCUGUUUCUGUGCUCUAAACUGUGCCUUAAAGGUUGUGUAAGAUGGAUGGACUGGGCUUGUGUAAUCAGUGCCUGAAGGUUUGUGCAGCAGAAAGGGAAGAAAGCACUGCUUGAAUAAAACCCACUGAAAGGACACUCUGCAGAGUGGCCGAGAAUAAAACCCUGCUCUUGCCUAGACUCAAAUUGUAACUCAGACCUAUUCCCACAACAGGUGAAGCUUAACCAGCUGUUUUACUUCCAAAAAGUUAAGUGCGAGGCUUUGGUGCUGUUUGGGUUUCUAUUUACACCUUUCUUUCUUCUCUACCUUCAGCAGUUACUGAGCCUCCUCAGGGUCAGUAUUUAUAUAUAUAUAUAUGUAUAUUUAUAGUAAGCUUUGUAUCCAGUCAGGUUUUGGAGAAGACAGUCUACCAACUACGGAUGAAGGGGGCUCAGUUUUCUUUAGUAUUUUUCCCUUGAGAAUGCUAGUUUCUAAUUCUGAGAAGCACAGUUCAUAGUUGGUUUGGGUUUUUUUUUCAUGAAUAAAUAUAAUAACUAGAUUGCAGAGACUUUGAAGUGUAAAGUGUUUUGAUGUUUCCUAACACAUUAAAUGAAAAUGGGCCGCUAUACUGGGAUCUGAGAUGCAAAAAGUGGGCACGUGCUCUUUCCCUUUAUUUUUCUUUCAUUAUUAAAGAUAAAUCUGCCAGUGA